AACGCUGGCGGCGCGCUUAACACAUGCAAGUCGAGCGAGAACCAGGGCUUCGGCCCUGGGGACAGCGGCGAACGGGUGAGUAACACGUGGGUAAUCUGCCCUCGGUUCUGGGAUAGCCCGGGGAAACCCGGAUUAAUACCGGAUAGCCUCUCGAGCCCUCGGGCCCGUGAGAAAGGGUAGCUUCGGCCCCCGACCGCGGAGGAGCCGGCGGCGGAUUAGCUUGUUGGCGGGGUAACGGCCAACCAAGGCGACGAUCCGUAGCUGGUCUGAGAGGACGAUCAGCCACACUGGGACUGAGACACGGCCCAGACUCCUACGGGAGGCAGCAGUGGGGAAUCUUGCGCAAUGGGCGAAAGCCUGACGCAGCGACGCCGCGUGAGGGAAGAAGGCCUUCGGGUUGUAAACCUCUUUCAGGAGGGACGAAGCCACUCGGGUUAAUAGCCCAGAGGGUGACGGUACCUCCAGAAGAAGCCCCGGCUAACUACGUGCCAGCAGCCGCCGUAAGAC
rnacentral:rRNA from 1 species